rnacentral:rRNA from 1 species
GUGUCAGCAGCCGCGGUAAUACGUAGGGGGCGAGCGUUGUCCGAAUUUACUGGGCGUAAAGCGCGCGUAGGCGGGUUCUUAAGUUGGUGGUGAAAUCCCGAGGCUCAACCUCGGAACUGCCUCCAAAACUGGGAACCUUGAGGUAUGGAGAGGGAAGUGGAAUUCCAGGUGUAGCGGUGAAAUGCGUAGAUAUCUGGAGGAACACCCGUGGCGAAGGCGGCUUCCUGGUCAUAUCCUGACGCUGAGGUGCGAAAGCUAGGGGAGCGAACGGGAUUAGAUACCCCGGUAGUCCUAGCCGUAAACGAUGGAUACUAGGUGUUAGUGGUAUCGACCCCACUAGUGCCGCAGCUAACGCAUUAAGUAUCCCGCCUGGGGAGUACGGCCGCAAGGCUGAA